UACGAAGGGGGCUAGCGUUGUUCGGAAUCACUGGGCGUAAAGGGCGCGUAGGCGGCCGAUCAAGUCGGGGGUGAAAGCCUGUGGCUCAACCACAGAAUUGCCUUCGAUACUGUUUGGCUUGAGACCGGAAGAGGUAAGUGGAACUGCGAGUGUAGAGGUGAAAUUCGUAGAUAUUCGCAAGAACACCAGUGGCGAAGGCGGCUUACUGGUCCGGUUCUGACGCUGAGGCGCGAAAAGCGUGGGGGAGCAAACAGG
rnacentral:rRNA from 1 species